GGGGAAUAUUGGACAAUGGGGGAAACCCUGAUCCAGCCACGCCGCGUGAGUGAUGAAGGCCUUCGGGUCGUAAAGCUCUGUGGGGAGGGACGAAAGACUCCGUGAAGAGCGGAGAGUGACGGUACCUCCUUAGCAAGCACCGGCUAACUUCGUGCCAGCAGCCGCGGUAAUACGAAGGGUGCAAACGUUGCUCGGAAUUAUUGGGCGUAAAGCGCACGUAGGCGGCCUUAUAAGUCGGAUGUGAAAUCCCUCGGCUCAACUGAGGAAGUGCAUUCGAAACUGCAAGGCUCGAGUAUGGCAGAGGGUCGCAGAAUUCCCGGUGUAGAGGUGAAAUUCGUAGAUAUCGGGAGGAAUACCAGUGGCGAAGGCGGCGACCUGGGCCAAUACUGACGCUGAGGUGCGAAAGCGUGGGGAGCAAAC
rnacentral:rRNA from 1 species